CAACGAAAUUCAAGUCAGCGGGAAUCCCCAAGAUUUGGAUAUAUCUAACCGAAUUUAGUACAGCCUCCCACACUGAAAACCAGCUAAACCGACAGCCGUCAAAAAUGCUCAGAAACCUACUCCGAACUCCGAAACGAGAUCUGUGUAAUCUGUCUUGUCCGCUUGUAUGAGUGCUGCGGGUCGCUAGUGCUAAAAGAGAGGGCUACCAACCUAAAAGAUGGCUGACGGCAAAGAAAGUGACAGCCAGGAUUUUCCUCUCCACGAAUGUGUUUUUAAAGGUGAUAUUCGUAAACUUUCGCAACUUUUAAGAACGGCAGAUGUCUCGAAAAAGGACAAGCAUGGGAACACGGCGCUUCAUCUGGCUGUUAUGCUCGGGAGGAAGGAAUGCACACAUUUACUGCUUGCACACGGAGCACCUGUGAAAGUGAAAAACCUGCAAGGCUGGUCGCCCCUGGCAGAGGCUAUCAGCUAUGGAGAUAGACAAAUAAUUUGCUCUCUUCUGCGGAAGUUGAAACAACAGGCGCGGGAACAAAUGGAAACCAGGCGGCCGAACUUAGUGAAGGCAUUGCAGCAGAUGGGCGACUUCUAUAUGGAACUGAAAUGGGAUUUCCAGUCGUGGGUUCCCCUUGUAUCAAGGAUACUUCCGUCUGAUGUUUGCAAGAUCCAUAAGUCAGGGUGUUCAAUUAGAUUAGAUACGACCUUAGUGGACUUUUCCGAUAUGCGCUGGGAGCGAGGUGAUAUAUCUUUUAUAUUCCGUGGCGAUAAGUCACCACAGGAAUCGUUAACAGUUCUAGAUAAUGAGUAUCAAUGUUAUCAGCGAGUUCGAUAUGAGGAGACAGACACAGAGAUCGAAGACGAAGUCGACAUACUCAUGUCGAGCGAUAUUUUAGCUGCACAAAUGUCGACCAAGGGUAUAAACUUCUGCAGAGCACAGUCCGGCUGGUUUUUUCGGGAAGACAAAAAGGAAAUCGUUGCAGGUCAAUAUGACUGUGAUUUAUACUGCAUAAAUGGACUUGUAUUGGAGUCCCGAAAGCGACGAGAGCAUUUAUCCCGAGAUGACCUACAGAAAAACAAAGCCCUAAUGGAAUCCUUCACAAAAGGACAUUCUACUGGAAUUGACCAGAAUGGAGAGAUUUUAAGGAGAAAUUCCUUAUUACCGCCUCCUGAGAAUUCAACGUCGUGGGAAGAUUACAUUUCAUCUGAACCUGCCGAAUAUCCAAAAUUGGGACGUGAAUUAGUUUAUAAAGAGUCUACAAAAUGUUUUCGAGCAACAGUGGCAAUGAGCAAGGAUUUCCCCCUAAGCGUUGACAUGUUGCUUAAUGUCCUAGAAGUUAUAGCGCCAUUCAAACACUUUACAAAAUUAAGAGAAUUUGUGACAAUGAAAUUGCCCAGUGGUUUUCCAGUCAAAAUUGAUAUACCCAUCCUGAGAACAGUAUCAGCGAAAAUAACAUUUCAAAAAUUUGAGUUUCGUGAUAAUAUACGACGGGAACUGUUCGAAAUACCUGCAACAUAUACAGAAGAUAGUAGAAGAUUUCCUGACUUAUGACGUAUCAAACACCAUGACAAGCUAGUCACAGGAACUACAAUGAUGCAAGUUUGGAUUAUGUUUUUAAGUCAUCAAGUCUUCUACUAUUUAAAGGAGUUUUACCCCACGAUAAAUUCAAAACUGUUCUUGAUUACAGAAAAGCAGAUCACGCUUAUUUCCACGGAGCUUCUAAUUUAUGUUUCCAUAUGCUUAAAUUAUACAUUUUUGUUAAGUAUUAUCAUUUGAGAAAUCGCUUUAAUAGCCUUAAAACUAAAUUAGCAAACAAAGAGAGCUAAACAAUUUAAUUGAAGUUAAUUAUAACACAAUCUGUUCAUUGGGAUUUUCUUGUCACAUGUAAAUUGAAAAAAAGUCAUACAUAAUAAAAGUGAACCAAACCAUAACCAUCAUUUGAGGAGAUCGUUUUUAAAACAAUGGAAGCCUUUCUCAUCUUAGUAUGAUCUUCAUCUUAUUUUACGCUUUUUGUAAAUAUUUUUUCGUAUUUAUAUAUUUUGUUGAUCUUCGUCCCGUCGGUAUAGUUAAGAUUAUUAAUUUCAUAGAAAUCCACGAGGUGUGAAUUUAGACCAUUUCCAUUUUUUAAGAUGCAUAAAUACUUGAUAAUGGGGCAGGAAUUGCUAAUGUAAUUAUAACAGAUUUUUUACAUUUUUUAAUUACAAGAACAAUGUCACAGAGGAUUAACUAUAGCAAAUGAAAAUCGUAACUAAGCGUAGUAAUUUAUUGUUGUCUAUAAUGUAGUGAAAUAUAGUGGCGAAUAGUUGCAGUUGUUGUUUUUGUGAAAAGUAAUCAUGUUCAGCAGAACUGUAAGCAGGUCAAUGCUAUUCCAUUUAAAUUUAUGUUAAAACUUAUAUCUAAUCGACUAAGUGAAAAUGUGACUUAAUUAUCUACUAAGACUGUAAAUACACUGCAAAAUAUUACAUCUAACAAAAGUCUAUGGUAUAAAUUA